UUAUUAUUGUAUAUACCUUGCUAUUUGCUUGUGUACCGUGACCGCUGUUUUUUUUUUCGUGACAUUUCAAACUUUUAAUAUUUUAUCCAGGGCUAAACUUGAGCUCUGGGUUAACAACCAUGACAAACCAUGGAUAACCAUGGACAACCAGCUUAAACUCUACUGAGUAUGUCCAUAUAUGUAUCUGCGAACAACCAGCAACGAACGACUAUUCGGAUCGACUGUACACGUCUGACUACUCUAACUACUCGUACUACUCGUACUCAGUCGUGUAUUGGGGAGAUUGAGGAGAUUGGGGAUGAAACUCGGAGGAAUCGAGCAACAACUAAACAACGAUGCUGAGCAUGACGAGUAUGACGAAUAUAAGCUGAGCAAAUUAAACAAAAGUCAUCUAGUUUUUCUUUAAACUCAUUUCUUCUGUCCUGUUUAUUAUCAUUGCUAAUACAAUAUUGUUAUAUCAAACAUUCACACACGUACCCAAAUCUAUUUGUUAAAUUUUACAACAAAUUCUUCAUUUUUGUAAUACAUGUUUAAUUUUUUAUUAAUAUUUAUAUUAUUCUCUAUAUCACAUUUUUUUUUUAUUUCAUAUCGUCAUUUAAAUUCUGUUCAUGUAGCGGAUUGAUUGUUUUGCCAUAAAAUUGUUAUUAUUUUUUUAUAUAAAAAAUAAAAAAUA